rnacentral:tRNA from 1 species
GGAUGGAUGGGUGAGUGGCUAAAACCAGUAGUUUGCUAAACUGCCGUAUAGGAUAACUGUACCGGGGGUUCGAAUCCCCCUCCAUCCG